rnacentral:rRNA from 1 species
AAAUUGAAGAGUUUGAUCAUGGCUCAGAUUGAACGCUGGCGGCAGGCUUAACACAUGCAAGUCGAACGGUAACAGGAGAAAGCUUGCUUUCUUGCUGACGAGUGGCGGACGGGUGAGUAAUGCUUGGGAAUCUGGCUUAUGGAGGGGGAUAACCAUUGGAAACGAUGGCUAAUACCGCGUAAUAUCGGAAGAUUAAAGACUGGGACUUUAGCCAGUUGCCAUAAGAUGAGCCCAAGUGGGAUUAGGUAGUUGGUGGGGUAAAGGCCUACCAAGCCUUCGAUCUCUAGCUGGUCUGAGAGGAUGACCAGCCACACUGGAACUGAGACACGGUCCAGACUCCUACGGGAGGCA